UACGUAGGGAGCAAGCGUUGUCCGGAAUCAUUGGGCGUAAAGCGCGCGUAGGUGGCUUCGUAAGUCCGUUGUGAAAGUCAAAGGCUUCAACCUUUGAAAGCCGAUGGAUACUGUGGAGCUAGAGUACGGAAGGGCGAGUGGAAUUCCUGGUGUAGGCGGUGGAAUGCGCAGAUAUCAGGAGGAACACCAAUAGCGAAGGCAGCUCGCUGGGACGUUACUGACACUGAGGCGCGAAAGCGUGGGGAGCGA
rnacentral:rRNA from 1 species